rnacentral:rRNA from 1 species
CGGCGGACGGGUGAGUAACACGUGGAUAACCUACCUAUAAGACUGGAUAACUUCGGGAAACCGGAGCUAAUACCGGAUAAUAUAUUGAACCGCAUGGUUCAAUAGUGAAAGACGGUUUUGCUGUCACUUAUAGAUGGAUCCGCGCCGCAUUAGCUAGUUGGUAAGGUAACGGCUUACCAAGGCGACGAUGCGUAGCCGACCUGAGAGGGUGAUCGGCCACACUGGAACUGAGACACGGUCCAG